AGGUCCAUCCUAAUCCCUGCUGGCUAGCCAGUGGCCUGAGGGUUCGCUUGUAGACCAGAGCACCCUGGACACCCACCCAGGAAGACCGGGCUGCUGUGCCCUGGCCUGGGGGUGAGUUUCUGGACAUCG
rnacentral:snoRNA from 1 species